ensembl:lncRNA
GGAGGAGAGUCGCAGAAGAGCCAGGCUGGGCCUCUGCACCCUCCAGACUGGUGUCCGGGGAGUGGAGUCCAUGUGGCAGAGCCCUGGGGACAUCGUCCGGAACAGGCCAAGCUCCAUGCCUUUUCUAAACUGUCCUUUAUAGCCUGUGUGUGUGCGUGUGUGUGCACGCAUGUGAGUGGUGGGGGGCGAGCUGGAAACUGAAAGUUCAGUACUGACAGGAAAAAAAUGCUUUCAUUUACUUGCUUGGAUCCUUGGAUCUGUUUUAGAUUUGUUUGCACUGCUGAUGCCAGAAAUUCAGGGUCCAUGGUUUUGUAACAGAUUUCCGUAUUCCGUGGCUUAGUCUUGUACCUAUGAACCUAGAGUUAUUGUGUGUGAACAAAUGUAUAAACAGAGCUAUGUAAUAUGUGUGCAUGUGGGAGUUCUCUUGUGGCUCAGCAAGCUAAGGAUCUGGCAUUGUCACACCUUGAACCCAGAGUGCCUCAGGUUGCUUCUGUGGCUGGGGUUUGAUCCCUGCCCUGGAAGCUUCCAUAUGCUGUGGGUGUGGCCAAAAAAAAAAAUAGUACUUAAAGUAAACUAGAAGAAUACUUUCUCUGAUUUUUCUUUGAAAGCAAAACUUCCUUUUACUCUUCCAUAUUGCUUUGUUUUUGAUAAAAAGAAUUGAAUCUCUUGGUUGCUAUGAAUUGUAAUGUGAGUAUUUUACUAGUUAGGAUAUAAGCUUGACCAUGAAGAAUAGCAUCCCAGAUAAAAGUAGUGCAAUGGGAGUUUCUUAUUUCUCUUGUAACAGCUUGGGGCAGAUUUUUCAGGGCCACUGUGAUGACUCCAGUGUCCUCUCCUCCGCAAGGACACCUGGGCCUGAAGUUCCUUCUCCCUCGCUGCUGCUCUCCCUAGUGUGUGUUCCUCACCAUGUGGUCCAGGAUGGAGGAAGGGAAGGAAGACAGCAUAUCCCUUAAGCAUACAUCCUGGAAGUUGUCUGUCUCAUUAGACCUUAGCCAUAAGCUUUAUAGAGGACGGCCAGGCAUCUCACUGAAAAUCAGAGUUUAACAUUGUUGAAGAAAGGGAGCUUGGACACUGGGGACAGCUGUUAGUCUCUGUCACACUCAUCUCUGAGAUCAUUCUCAUCACAUCUUGAACCCAGAGUGCUAAAUGUUGUAUGACGUAAUUAGCUUAUUAAGUUAGACACAAGGAGUUCCUGUCAUGGUUCAGUGGGUUGGAAACCCAACCCAACCUGGUAUCUGUGAGGAUGCGGGUUUGAUCCCUGGCUUCCUUCAGUGCAUUGAAGAAUCCAGCAUUGCCAUGAGCUGUCAUGUAGGUCGCAGAUGAGGCUCGGAUCCAGCGUUGCUGUGGCUAUGGUGUAGGCUGGCGUCUGCAGCUCCAUUUGACCCCUAGCCUGGGAACUUCCUCUUGCUGCAGGUUCAGCCCUAAAAAGAGAAAACAAAGAAGCUAGACACAAAAUGUGACACUAAUUGCAGUUGGCAGCUGUAUCACCAGCUGAUUUUGCUCAUAUGCCCGUGGCUGCCUGUGUGCUAUGUUAAGAAAGAUUGUGCUUCCGUAUUUGUGUUGAACAUGAAAAUAGUUACACGAUCACUAAGUGACACCUGCCCUGGGCUCAGGAUAGGAGGAAAAUGCCGUGUGCUUGCCGUCAGUGUCUUCAUUCAGAGAAGAGCUCUUAUAAGGUCAUAGGGUCUGUUGUCAGUAGCACUGUUAAAAGUACUUACUUUUUUCCCUAGUGAUUCAUCCCGUUGUGGCCAAGCAGCGAUUUAAAUUGGGGGCUGGGGUUGGGGUUUUAUAUAUGGUGGAAAUACCACUCCCUAGUGGAAAGGCAGGUUCGAUUGAAUGAACAAUUGAGAUAAAUUUUUAGACCACUGGGUCCACCUGAAGGUGCUAAGAAAGCCACCAUUACGUGAUCAUAUUCAGGCAAGAAAAAGUGCAAAGCAGACUGAUGAUAAUCCAUUCAUUUAAGAAUCCUUGGAGUUCCUGUUGUGACUCAGCGGUAAACGAAUCCGACUAGGAACCAUGAGGUUGCGGGUUCGAUCCCUGUCCUCGCUCAGCGGGUUAGGGAUCCGGCAUUGCCAUGAGCUGUGGUGUACAUUGCAGACGUGGCUUGGAUCCCGUGUUGNNNNNNNNNNNNNNNNNNNNNNNNNNNNNNNNNNNNNNNNNNNNNNNNNNGGCCGGCGGCUGCAGCUUCCACUCAGCCCCUAGCCUGGGAACCUCCAUAUGCUGCGGGAGCAGCCCAAGAAACGGCAAAAAGACACACACACAAAAAAAGAAUCCUUGCGCCAAACUUGUAUAUAUGACUGAAUUGUGGUUUCAAAUACUUUGUGUGUCCUGCCUCGCUUUGCUUUGUCUUUCUGUGUUCUGUCUCUUCGACUAGACCAUGGGCUCUUGAGAAACAGGUGUGACACUUCCCCGUGUCCCUGACGAUCUCUAGCGCAACAUCUUACACAGAGAGCGUGCAGUAGGUGUUUGUUGAUGGCUGGAUUGAGACCAUCCAUGGUGAUCUAGUUUGCAGGGUUUUUUGGGUUUUUUUGUAUUCAAGGUGUUUGCUCCCUGCAUAAGUGUUACUACCUCAAUUUGUCUUGGACACUGAGGUGGAAGGUGACCACGUGAAUUGAACCAUCUUCUGGUGGUUUGGAUGCAUUAUCAAUUAGCCAUGGAACUGACCAGCAUAGAUUGCAGUUGAGGACUUUCUUCCUCUCUUUUCCCUGGUGUUGUUUGGACAGGAGAAGUGAAGAACAAUUUUCAAGCUUCUGUAAGCUACGUGAUGAAUAAUUGCUGGAUAAAUUAACAUCGUCUCUAGAUGGGACAAAACAAGAGGCCGAUCUGACUGCCCCGCUUUGGCUCUCCUGUGGCCGCUGGCGGGAAUGACCUUGCUCUCAGCUUCCAGCCCCCACCUUGCUUGUCUGUGACUGUGGUUGAGUCAUGGCCACCUUGCAGGCCCUGCUUUUUCCAGUCAUAGAGGAGCGAGGAGUUGCCACUGGAUGCCUGAGAGUGCCUGGGCUAGAAGACCCCCUGGAAGUUGGCUGAUACAGUAGAGGGCUCUUUGUGUGAUAACGAACUCCUCCCCUUCCCCUCAGCCAGAUGUCCUGCUGAGGUAAGGAAUAUGGAGUGGGUUUUUGUUUCUCUCUUUGGCUUUCAGUUCCUUUUGUGUGUGUCUGGCCUUGUAAAUGUGGUGAAUAAAUGCUAUAAUUACACCCCUCUUUGACAGCUCUGUAAUUUAAUUGUAGUUCACUCUGAGCAUCUUUUGAAGACAAUGAUGUGUAUUGAAGAUGCAGCUGUUCCAGUAGUCACUGCUCAAUGGACAGGGCUCAUUGGGGGACCUGUCAGUCUACAGUCUAUUCAGGGCCAGAUAGAGGAAUAUACUGUGUGUGUGUGUGUGUAUGUGUGAGGGAGAGAGAGAGAGAGGGAGGGAGAGACCACUUUCUACACCCUCCCUGGUUUGGCAAAAGUAGCAGUGUGAAUUUAUAGAGAAGCAUUGUUGAACAUUGGCCUUUGCCUAAAUAUGUAGAUUACAUAUUCUAAAGUAGAGAAAUGCUGGCAUUUAUGUUCUGCCGUGAGCUAAGCUGGGUACCUUUGUUGCUUGGUAGAGGUGGUCCCUCUAGCAAGUAGAGGUUGACGCCUGCCGCCAUUGGCAGGUGUUACCCAAACUCCCUUCAGUCAUCAGCGGUUUCGUCGUUUCCUGAGACUGCCAUAGCAGAAUAGCUGAGUCCCACAGGCAGGUGGCUUAAACAACAGGCGUGGAUUGUUCUGUUCUCUGUGUCCUGAGGCUAGAGGCCGGAAGCAGGUGUGGGCAGGGCUGAUUCCCUCUGAGGGCAGUGAGGUUCUGUUUAUUCCUCUUAGGGUUCCUGGCACCUCCAGGUGUGUCUUGCUUGCACCUUCUGGUCACUCUGGGUCUUCACAUCGUCCUCCCUCUGCACGUGUGUCUGUCCAAAUUCCCCCUUUUCAUAAGGACAUCAGUCAGGUGGAUUAGGGCCUCAUUGUAACUUGAUUGCUUUGGCAAAGACUCUGUCUCCAAAUGAGGUCACAUUCUGAGCUGCUGGCAAUUAGGACUCUUACUGGAUCUGUUCUGGAAGGGACACCAUUCAGCUUGUAACAGAUGUCUACUUGAAAAUGCAGAAAUUUCCUUCUUAUAAUCGCUGCAGAUAAUGUGUGCCCUGAAAGGCUUUUGAAUGACGACAGGAAGGCUCUCACAAGAAUUAUUUUGUGAUGUUAUUAUUGCUUGUAUUUAUUUGGGGCUAUAAUGCAGAAUGUUUAUAUCUGCCAUCUUCCUGAUACUUGGAAGUUGUGCAGGGGAGCCCGGACUGCUUUUGACCUUCACUGCCCUGCAUACGCCUUAGUGGAGCAGGAUGCUGUGACAGGAUGGGCAAUAGCGGGUCCCUCAGAGCCUUCCAGCUGAUGGGUGGAUGGAAGAUGAGUUCUUCUGAUUGAAGCUGAAUAUCACGAGUCACCCCCCGCUCCUGGUUCUCUUCCCACCACUUCCUCUCCCUGUUGCAAGAGACAGUUUGAAUAUAAUUCAAGGUGUUCCUAGUAUUAGGAAAUCCCUUCCUUGGAGGGUUCUGGUGGGAGGUUCCAUCACUGUUUGUUAUGGACAGAAAUUUGAAUAUAUCAUCUAAGAUGAAGGAAAUAAAAUGGAAACAAUGCAGGUAGCUUGAUGUGAUAGCAAUAAGAGUGAACGAAAGAGUUCUUGUGGCUCAGUGGAUUAUGAAUCUGACUAGCAUCCAUGAG